CAUUGUGAAACCAAAAGGUCAUCAAGCACACGUGCACCCGAAAUAAGAUAAUUGUGAAAAUGUUUUGUUGAAAAUUGGUCAUGUUUUUCAAAGAAAGCUUUUACAAAAUGAACACAAAAAGAAAGAAAAAAUAAUAAAAUGAUAAUACUCAUUGAGUUUUUAAAACAAAAAGAAGAAGAAGCCCCACGGGUUUGAAUUACCAAAUAAGUAAAUCAAUUAAUUCAGGACCAGUCAUUGAAAGUGGACAUAAAUAUAAAAAUAUUGAAUCAAAAUUACAUCAAGUCUAGCUCAGUCACUAGUGAAACACGCGUGUCAUGAAAGACACGUUCUGCACGUGCGUUGCCUUCACAUGUUGUACAUUCCUAACAGGUUGUGACAGGUGUUUGAGCAAUGGAUAGUUGGAUACCCCAACUUGUGAUGCAAAGAAUACUAGUACAAAUGUGAUUCCUUUGAAUACUUUAUCAUGGCCGUCCCGCGUUCCAGAGCCCCUGUGUUUGUCGUGACAAAAUGGAACAGACGUGGAGUUGUGACACCCCAACGGCAUAUGACGGUGACGUUACGCCACCACACCCCAACGGCAUAUGACGGUGACGUAUCGCCACCACACCCCAACGGCAUAUGACGGCGCUCGCAGUAUUUGUCAAAGAUUUGUGUUAAUGUUUUCCUGAAACAACUAACCCUCAAUACAUUCACUUCAAACACUAAGAUUGGAACUAUGUACCAUGAGACGGGAUUGUUUGGUUGAAAUUCAUGUAAUAAAACGAGACACCUGAUGGUU